GCCGUGAUAGCUCAGCUGGGAGAGCAACAGACUGAAGUUCUGGAGGUUGCCUGUUCAAUCCAGGCUCAUGGUA
rfam:Stereum hirsutum FP-91666 SS1 unplaced genomic scaffold STEHIscaffold_22, whole genome shotgun sequence.